GUGAGGAAUAUUGGUCAAUGGGCGAGAGCCUGAACCAGCCAAGUAGCGUGAGGGAUGACUGCCCUAUGGGUUGUAAACCUCUUUUGUUUGGGAAUAAAGUGAGCCACGUGUGGCUUUUUGUAUGUACCUUACGAAUAAGCAUCGGCUAAUUCCGUGCCAGCAGCCGCGGUAAUACGGAAGAUGCGAGCGUUAUCCGGAUUUAUUGGGUUUAAAGGGAGCGUAGGCGGGCUUUUAAGCCAGCGGUCAAAUGUCAGGGCCCAACCUUGGCAUGCCGUUGGAACUGGGAGCCUUGAAUACACACAAGGAAGGUGGAAUUCGUCGUGUAGCGGUGAAAUGCUUAGAUAUGACGAAGAACUCCGAUUGCGAAGGCAGCCUUCUGGGGUGCGAUUGACGCUGAGGCUCGAAAGUGCGGGUAUCGAACAGG
rnacentral:rRNA from 1 species